rnacentral:rRNA from 1 species
UGGGUGACCUGCCUUCCAGUGAGGAAUACCGGCGAGAAAUCGCCGACAAUACCGCAUAGGCUCGCAGGGUCACACCUGCGAGCAAAGCUCCGCAAGGGGCGCUGGAAGAGGGGCCCGUGGCCGAUUAGCUGGUUGGUGGGGUAACGGCCUACCAAGGCGACGAUCGGUUGCUGGUCUGAGAGGACGAUCAGCCACACUGGGAUUGAGAACGGCCCAG